GCUGCGCACUUCGGUCUUUUACGUCGGCCUUCGCGAGCGUCUGGGCGGGUGGUAGGUGAGUGGGUAUUGCGGGCUAGUAUCCGAGCAAAAGAUGGUGGCGCAGGCCGAGUUAAGAGCUUUAAUCCUGUGAAGACAUCUUAGUGAAGAGUUUAGAGUGCUGAGAGUUGAAAGCUUGCACGUGGGAAACGUGCGGCCGGACUGCCACAUGUACUGAGGUUGAGUCGUGACGGCCACAGGCUCCGAGUUUUGGCGUGAGGAACCGCUGAUCGGCCACGGGCGCCGAACUUGCUGGCCUCCGGCAUGUGCCUGAGCGGCGGCGGAAAAACCACCUUAAUUGGGGCGGAGGGUUAGUUUUAACAGCAAAGGGCCUUUACUAAAAUGGCGAAGGCCUUCCGUCGGCGUUGUUUUAAAAUGGGAAGCCUCGACCCUGUAUUGAAACUGAGCUGUUCGAAGGCGGCGUUGUGUGCAAUUCGGAUUAAUGAAGGGGAAGGGUUUUGUGUGGAAAAACGCCUUGGAGUGUGACAUUUCUGCGAGAAUGCUUAAAUACCGAUUUCCCGCAGGAACAAUGGCGCUGUCUUCAGUGGCACAGUGGAGCAGCUCUGAAGAUGCAAAGAUACACGAAAAAACUUCCAGAACAUCUGGGAGAAUAUUUAAUGGAAAAUCGCUUGGUUAAAACCUGACACUUUUAACAGUGAACAGCGUUCUGAGUGUGGACGAGUAGCCAGUGAAGAUAAUGAAUGUCGAAUGUGACUGACUAGCAGCUUCAUUUUGAAGUAGGUUGUAUGGCUUAAAAGUUCUGUAGUAUUUGUACUAUAAUACUUGCCUUUUAGCAUUACCUUGGUUUGUAGUCAGUGUCACAGAAGUGCAGUUUAAUGUAUUAUGUGUACAUAUACAAGGUCUGAUUGGUCUAAUCAAUGAUGAAACCUAUCCCGAAGCUGAUAACCUGAAGAAAAAUAAGUACGGAUUCGGCUUCUGAGAUUAAGACCAGUAAUUCAGAGGUGGAGUAAAUUUUGUUGCCGUGAUUUUAUAACAGUUGUGUUAUAAAAUCCUGGGUUUUUUUUUUUUCUGCCAACAGUGAGGGUCGCUGUCUGCCCAUUGAUAGAGGCCAGAUUGUCUUGGAAGUUCCAAAGUUGCAACGAUUUCUGUAAGUGGAGUUUUUCUGUUUGCUUAGAGAUCAGUGAAUAUUGUGUCCUUGGUCUUAUCUGUGAUGAUCUUAUCCCGAACCUGAACUUCUGUUGAAAAAAAAAAACUUUUACGGAUCUGGCUUCUGAGAUGGACCGUUAUAAGGACAAUAUUUUUUUUUAAUACUUUUAAUGCUUUUACAUAUGUUGUAAUGUUUGUAGUCUUGUAAGAAUCUCGUGUUUUUCCUUUUCUAGGGCUAGUGCCACGAGGUUUACUUGACUGUUGUGUGAAAAGCUGAUAAGAAAACCAUCCAGAAAAAAGCUCUUCGUUUUACAAACAUGAAAAUAAAACAUGUAAUUUUGGAUUA
rnacentral:lncRNA from 1 species